GAUGAACGCUGGCGGCGUGCCUAACACAUGCAAGUCGAACGAAGCACCUUACCUGAUUCUUCGGAUGAAAGUUUGGUGACUGAGUGGCGGACGGGUGAGUAACGCGUGGGUAACCUGCCCUGUACAGGGGGAUAACAGCUGGAAACGGCUGCUAAUACCGCAUAAGCGCACGAGGAGACAUCUCCUUGUGUGAAAAACUCCGGUGGUACAGGAUGGGCCCGCGUCUGAUUAGCUGGUUGGCAGGGUAACGGCCUACCAAGGCAACGAUCAGUAGCCGGUCUGAGAGGAUGAACGGCCACAUUGGAACUGAGACACGGUCCAAACUCCUACGGGAGGCAACAGUGGGGAAUAUUGCACAAUGGGGGAAACCCUGAUGCAGCAACGCCGCGUGAGUGAAGAAGUAUUUCGGUAUGUAAAGCUCUAUCAGCAGGGAAGAUAAUGACGGUACCUGACUAAGAAGCUCCGGCUAAAUACGUG
rnacentral:rRNA from 1 species